GGUUAAGCGACUAAGCGUACACGGUGGAUGCCUAGGCAAUCAGAGGCGAUGAAGGACGUGCUAAUCUGCGAUAAGCGUCGGUAAGGUGAUAUGAACCGUUAUACCCGACGAUUUCCGAAUGGGGAAACCCAGUGCAAUCCGUUGCACUAUCGUUUGAUGAAUACAUAGUCAAACGAAGCGAACCGGGGGAACUGAAACAUCUCAGUACCCCGAGGAAAAGAAAUCAACCGAGAUUCCCCUAGUAGCGGCGAGCGAACGGGGAGCAGCCCAGAGUCUUAAUCAGCAUUAGUAUCAGGAGAACGGUCUGGAAAGUCCGGCAGUAAAGGGUGAUAGCCCCGUAUCUGAAGAUGCUAGUGUUGUGAACUCGACGAGUAGGGCGGGACACGUGUUAUCCUGUCUGAAUAUGGGGGGACCAUCCUCCAAGGCUAAAUACUCCUGAUUGACCGAUAGUGAACCAGUACCGUGAGGGAAAGGCGAAAAGAACCCCGGCGAGGGGAGUGAAAUAGAACCUGAAACCGUGUACGUACAAGCAGUGGGAGCCUUGAUUUAUCAGGGUGACUGCGUACCUUUUGUAUAAUGGGUCAGCGACUUAUAUUCUGUAGCAAGGUUAACCGUAUAGGGGAGCCGUAGGGAAACCGAGUCUUAACUGGGCGAAUGAGUUGCAGGGUAUAGACCCGAAACCCGGUGAUCUAGCCAUGGGCAGGUUGAAGGUUGGGUAACACUAACUGGAGGACCGAACCGACUAAUGUUGAAAAAUUAGCGGAUGACUUGUGGCUGGGGGUGAAAGGCCAAUCAAACCGGGAGAUAGCUGGUUCUCCCCGAAAGCUAUUUAGGUAGCGCCUCGUGAACUCAUCUUCGGGGGUAGAGCACUGUUUCGACUAGGGGGUCAUCCCGACUUACCAACUCGAUGCAAACUACGAAUACCGAAGAAUGUUAUCACGGGAGACACACGGCGGGUGCUAACGUUCGUCGUGAAGAGGGAAACAACCCAGACCGCCAGCUAAGGUCCCAAAGUCAUAGUUAAGUGGGAAACGAAGUGGGAAGGCUCAGACAGCCAGGAUGUUGGCUUAGAAGCAGCCAUCAUUUAAAGAAAGCGUAAUAGCUCACUGGUCGAGUCGGCCUGCGCGGAAGAUGUAACGGGGCUAAACUAUGCACCGAAGCUGCGGCAGCGAUAUGUAAAUAUUGUUGGGUAGGGGAGCGU
rnacentral:rRNA from 1 species